AUUGAACGCUGGCGGCAGGCUUAACACAUGCAAGUCGAGCGAGCGGCGGACGGGCGAGUAAUGCCUGGGAAACUGCCUGUUGGAGGGGGAUAACUACUUGAAACGGUAGCUAAUACUGCAUAUCAUCAGAUGUGUCCAGACGGGAUUAGCUAGUGGGUGGGGUAAUGGCUCACCUAGGCGACGAUCCCUAGCUGGUCUGGGAGGAUGACCAGCCACACUGGAACGGAGACACGGUCCAGACUCCUACGGGAGGCAGCAGUGGGGAAUAUUGCACAAUGGGCGCAAGCCUGAUGCAGCCAUGCCGCGUGUAUGAAGAAGGCCUUCGGGUUGUAAAGUACUUUCGGCGGGGAGGCGUUACCCGCAGAAGAAGCACCGGCUAACUCCGUGCCAGCAGCCGCGGUAAUAC
rnacentral:rRNA from 1 species